rnacentral:rRNA from 1 species
GACGAACGCUGGCGGCGGGCCUAACACAUGCAAGUCGAACGGUAAGGCCGCAGCUAGCUGGGGUACACGAGUGGCGAACGGGUGAGGAACCCGUGGGUUACGUGUCCUGCACUUCGGGAUAAGCCUGGGAAACUUGGGCUAAUAGGGGAUAGGACUGCACCGCUUGGGAGCGGCGGAAAUCUAUUUCGGUGUUGGAUGGGGCUGCGGCCUAUCCGCUUGCUCGUGGGGUAAUGGACUACCAAGGCGGCGACGCGUCGCCGGGCCGAGGGGGUGGACGGCCCCAUUGGGACGGGGACGAGACCCAGACUACUACGGGAGGCAGCGGUGGAGUAUAGUACACAAUGGGAGGAGGCAUAGUGCAGCGACGCCGCGUGGGGGAUGACGGCCUUCGGGUUGUAAACUCCUUUUCUCUUCGACGAAGGGUUUCUGACGGUAGAUGGAGAAGAAGCCCCGGCUAACUACGUG